rnacentral:rRNA from 1 species
CAAUAGCGUAUAUUAAAGUUGUUGCAGUUAAAAAGCUCGUAGUUGGAUUUGUGGCGUACGGUGUGUUCCGGGCACUUGUUGUCUGAGUAACCUGCUGUUGCCAUCCUUGGGUGGAACCUGUGUGGCAUUAGGUUGUCGUGCAGGGGAUGCCCAUCAUUUACUGUGAAAAAAUUAGAGUGUUCAAAGCAGGCUUAUGCCGUUGAAUAUAUUAGCGUGGAAUAAUGAGAUAGGACUUUUUUGCUAUUUUGUUGGUUUGCGCAAAGAGGUAAUGAUUAAUAGGGACAGUUGGGGGUAUUCGUAUUCCAUUGUCAGAGGUGAAAUUCUUGGAUUUUUGGAAGACGAACUACUGCGAAAGCAUUUACCAAGGAUGUUUUCAUUAA